GUGUGGUGGAGAUUAAAAGCAGAAGUUGGCAUUUCAUGUAGCUCAAACUGGACUUAAAUUCCCUGUCCAGCUGAGGAUGACCCUAAUUUCUGAUCUUCCUGAAUCCACCUCUGUCUAGUGCUGGGAUUACAGGUGUUUGGUUCACAUCCAG